rnacentral:rRNA from 1 species
UACAGAGGUCCCAAGCGUUGUUCGGAAUCAUUGGGCGUAAAGCGCGUGUAGGCGGUCCGGUAAGUCCGCUGUGAAAGUCGGGGGCUCAACCCUCGGAUGCCGGUGGAUACUGUCGGGCUUGAGUACGGAAGAGGCGAGUGGAAUUCCUGGUGUAGCGGUGAAAUGCGCAGAUAUCAGGAGGACCACCAAUUGCGAAGGCAGCUCGCUGGGACGUUACUGACGCUGAGACGCGAAAGCGUGGGGAGCAAACAGG